CAGUCGCCGCAGGAAUACGAAGGGUGCAGGCGUUAUUCGGAAUUACUGGGCGUAAAGCGUGUGUAGGUGGUUGUUUAAGUCUGUCGUGAAAGCCCUGGGCUCAACCUGGGAAUUGCGAUGGAUACUGGGCGACUAGAGUGCGGUAGAGGAUAGUGGAAUUUCCGGUGUAGCAGUGAUAUGCGUAGAGAUCGGAAGGAACAUCUGUGGCGAAGGCGACUAUCUGGGCCAACACUGACACUGAGACACGAAAGCGUGGGGAGCAAACAGGAUUAGAUACCCCAGUAGUCCCUGUCUCUUAUAA
rnacentral:rRNA from 1 species